GUACUCGCUUCGGCAGCACAUAUACUAAAAUUGGAACGAUACAGAGAAAAUUAACAUGGUCCCUGUGCAAGGAUGAUAUGCAAAUUUGUGAAGUGUUCCAUAUUUUU
rnacentral:snRNA from 1 species